rnacentral:ncRNA from 1 species
AAUUUUUUCGGUCGCAGUGGCUGCGCGUCAUCGCGUGGCUGAAAUACGGGGGAAGUCCGGUGAGAAUCCGGCGCAGUCCCGCUGCGGUAUCCCACUCCGACCUCUCGGACGUGGGUAAGCCCGAAUGCCCGCCUGCGACGCAUCACGUAA